AACGAACGCUGGCGGCAGGCCUAACACAUGCAAGUCGAGCGGGGGAGCAAUCCCUAGCGGCGGACGGGUGAGUAACGCGUGGGAACGUACCCUUUGCUUCGGAAUAGCCCCGGGAAACUGGGAGUAAUACCGGAUGUGCCCUACGGGGGAAGAAUUUCGGCAAAGGAUCGGCCCGCGUUGGAUUAGGUAGUUGGUGGGGUAAUGGCCUACCAAGCCGACGAUCCAUAGCUGGUUUGAGAGGAUGAUCAGCCACACUGGGACUGAGACACGGCCCAGACUCCUACGGGAGGCAGCAGUGGGGAAUCUUAGACAAUGGGCGCAAGCCUGAUCUAGCCAUGCCGCGUGAGCGAUGAAGGCCUUAGGGUUGUAAAGCUCUUUCGUGGGGGGAAGAUAAUGACGGUACCCAAGAAGAAGCCCCGGCUAACUCCGUGCCAGCAGCCGCGGUAAU
rnacentral:rRNA from 1 species